rnacentral:rRNA from 1 species
CGACUUGGAGGUUGUGCCCUUGAGGCGUGGCUUCCGGAGCUAACGCGUUAAGUCGACCCCCUGGGGAGUACGGCCGCAAGGUUAAAACUCAAAUGAAUUGACGGGGGCCCGCACAAGCGGUGGAGCAUGUGGUUUAAUUCGAUGCAACGCGAAGAACCUUACCUACUCUUGACAUCCAGAGAACUUUCCAGAGAUGGAUUGGUGCCUUCGGGAACUCUGAGACAGGUGCUGCAUGGCUGUCGUCAGCUCGUGUUGUGAAAUGUUGGGUUAAGUCCCGCAACGAGCGCAACCCUUAUCCUUUGUUGCCAGCGGUCCGGCCGGGAACUCAAAGGAGACUGCCAGUGAUAAACUGGAGGAAGGUGGGGAUGACGUCAAGUCAUCAUGGCCCUUACGAGUAGGGCUACACACGUGCUACAAUGGCGCGUACAAAGAGAAGCGACCUCGCGAGAGCAGGCGGACCUCAUAAAGUGCGUCGUAGUCCGGAUUGGAGUCUGCAACUCGACCCCAUGAAGUCGGAAUCGCUAGUAAUCGUAGAUCAGAAUGCUACGGUGAAUACGUUCCCGGGACUUGUACACACCGCCCGUCACACCAUGGGAGUGGGUUGCAAAAGAAGUAAGUAGCUUAACCUUCGGGAGGGCGCUUACCACUUCGUGAUUCAUGACUGGGGUGAAGUCGUAACAAGGUACC